GAUGAACGCUGGCGGCGUGCCUAAUACAUGCAAGUCGAGCGAACAGACGAGGAGCUUGCUCCUCUGACGUUAGCGGCGGACGGGUGAGUAACACGUGGAUAACCUACCUAUAAGACUGGGAUAACUUCGGGAAACCGGAGCUAAUACCGGAUAAUAUAUUGAACCGCAUGGUUCAAUAGUGAAAGACGGUUUUGCUGUCACUUAUAGAUGGAUCCGCGCCGCAUUAGCUAGUUGGUAAGGUAACGGCUUACCAAGGCAACGAUGCGUAGCCGACCUGAGAGGGUGAUCGGCCACACGGGAACUGAGACACGGUCCAGAAUCCUACGGGAGGCAGCAGUAGGGAAUCUUCAGCAAUGGGCGAAAGCUUGACGGAGCAACGCCGCGUGAGUGAUGAAGGUCUUCGGAUCGUAAAACUCUGUUAUUAGGGAAGAACAAAUGUGUAAGUAACUAUGCACGUCUUGACGGUACCUAAUCAGAAAGCCACGGCUAACUACGUG
rnacentral:rRNA from 1 species